CCAGACUCCUACGGGAGGCAGCAGUGGGGAAUCUUCCGCAAUGGGCGCAAGCCUGACGGAGCAACGCCGCGUGAGUGAAGAAGGUCUUCGGAUCGUAAAGCUCUGUUGAUGGGGACGAACGUGCGAAGGGUGAAUAAUCCUUUGCAAUGACGGUACCUAUCGAGGAAGCCACGGCUAACUACGUGCCAGCAGCCGCGGUAAUACGUAGGGGGCGAGCGUUGUCCGGAAUUACUGGGCGUAAAGGGCACGCAGGCUGUGAUUCAAGUCAGCUGUAAAAGGAUGCGGCUUAACCGUGUUUAGCAGUUGAAACUGGAUGACUGGAGUGCUGGAGAGGCAAGUGGAAUUCCCAGUGUAGCGGUGAAAUGCGUAGAUAUUGGGAAGAACAUCGGUGGCGAAGGCGACUUGCUGGCCAGUAACUGACGCUGAGGUGCGAAAGCCAGGGUAGCAAACGGGAUUAGAUACCCCGGUAGUCCUGGCUGUAAACGAUGAAUGCUAGGUGUGCGAGCAGAGAUGUUGGUGUGCCGCAGUUAACGCGAUAAGCAUUCCGCCUGGGGAGUACGGUCGCAAGAUUGAAACUCAAAGGAAUUGACGGGGGCCCGCACAAG
rnacentral:rRNA from 1 species